ensembl:lncRNA CCND2-AS1 CCND2 antisense RNA 1
ACCCCACCCAAAUCUCCGCACCGAGGAAGCUGGAAAACCAAACUGUGCCCCAGCAGCUCCAGGUCUCGCUGAACCUGUUACUAUGGCAGCGUCUAUGCUUCACUUUUGAGGAUUGCUUCUGCUUUGAAAUAGCCGUGUGGAAGAAAAACUACAAAGUUUUGAGGGGGAAAAAACCCACCUAACUUUAGCUGCCGUUGUGUCUUCAUCUGUAAAAAUCUUCUUCAUGUCUCAUGGAUUUCAACAUGCAGUUUAUCUUGGUUUGUUCCAUAAAACAUCAGAUGCAACUUUAAUGGCCUAACCCCAAAAAGAUAACUUGGCAGCCAUCAAGCAUUCAGCAGCGUUCCAAAUGCCCUCUUGCUGGAGCCAGCCUUCUACGGGGCCAUGUGGAUGUCAGGCACACACAAUUUGAGUCACGCUGACAUAGCUGGGAUGCCUGGAUUGCACUGGAAUCUGGGGGGUACCAAUCACAGGCCAGAGAGAAGCCAUUGGCUGGAA